GGGCCGGGGCUUGGGGAGGGCGGCGGAAGUGGAAGGCGGUUCCCUCAGUUCUGGAGUAGCAGUGAGGGGAGCCACGGGCUCCGCAGUAAGGCUUGCUUCCCUCGUCCCGCCGCGCGAGGUAGGUGCUGCUGCCCUCCGCGUGCACGCGGGACAACCGGGUCUGAAGUCUGGAGCGCACGCUUGCUGAGGACCUGGGUCCUUUCCUCCAUUUCGCAGAGGAGCGUCCUCACAAUUAAGCCCUAAGUCAAGAGGGUCUUGCACAGACCCUGCACUUGGAGUCUUUGGGGCGCUAAAGCGAGUCCAGUGCUGCGGCGGAGAGAGAGCGGGAGUGUGAGUUUCACCAGGAAGACCCUGCGGUAUAUAUUGUUCUCCUGACUGGGUGGUAUAGUGUGUAAUGUAAGAGGACUGUUCUUUCCAAAAGUAGUCCCUGUCACCCUUCAGGUCGUUCUGGAGACCCCGGGCUAAAAAGUCGGCCCAACGCCGGGGGAGGCAGCACUUAGUCCCAGCACUUUGGAGGCAGGGGCAGGCAGAUCUCUUGAGUUCAAUCAAGGCCACCCUGGUCUACAGAGUUCCAGGCCAGCCAGAGCCACACAAGGAGACUCUCUGUCUUGAAAAUCCAAAAAUAAAUAAAAGUCAGCCCAGUGAUAAAAGAACAA
rnacentral:lncRNA from 1 species